GAGUUUGUUUGCCAUGGCUCUUGCGACCAGAGCUGUGUCCAGUGACUGUGGUGACAUAAGUAUCACAGCCAGCCAAAUCCUGCUGCCCAGCUUCCAGGACCCAUUGCGCCCUACUUCCCAAGUAUCUCCUCAUCCUCCCAGUGAUGCUGUGUACCCCAAUACCCUUCCAGAACAUUCCCUUGGUAUAGGUUUCUGUUGCUUGCCACAAGAACCCUGAUGGAUUCAGAAGGAAGUUCUUCAAAGUCUGUGAAAGGGAACAUGAAGCUCUUUCAUGCCCAGUUCUUAAUGCCGCCACAAUGUCGCCAAGACAUGGGAAAGGGGAGCUGAAGGUCCAGCCUGCCCCCGACAGCAAGUCAGAGGAGGCAUUAAAACCAACAACAGAACAUCCCUCUUCCCACCGAGGGCAGCAGCCUGGCCUGAUUUGCAGCAGAAAUGGUCUCUGGAGAGGUGGCUCUCCUUGGCUAAGUCAUUCCCUCCGACCUGAAAGAGAGAGAGAUGAAACACAUGGGAAGGGGUAUGCAGUGGAAAGCAUUAUCCGCAUGCAACUUCUGUGAUGUCGUUGCAUCCUUCAGGAACUGCCCAGGAAGAGGAGGAAGCAGUAAAGGAUGGAGCAGACUGGGGAAGGAUGAGGAAGCUGGGAAAGCCGCGUAGAGGAUAGUGGAAAAUGCCAGCACUAGAAGUUGGGAUGGGUUUUUUUCCUCCCUUCCUUCCACCCACACACCCACACACUGUGCACUGAUGAGACACAGCGGGAUCCAAUGAGCUACCUUCCCCUUGGCUAGCAAGUUUCAGGGAGCAUUUGCCUACAGACAGUCCUCGCCACCAGCUACCUAGGACUUUUCCUUAAUCAGAGCCAGCCUCUCCACCCUUGAAGCAUCUGGCUGAAUAUACCACAGUGAUUAAAGGUAUGGGCUUUUAGUCAGCCAGCCCGGGUUUACUCCCCAACUGGUGGCUGUGAUCUGUAUGACAGGUGUCAGGACCUAAGCUCUAUGUCAGUAAUGUGAGAGUAACAAUAUCGGCUCCGCAUGGUUAUGGAGGUAUUUAAACACGACACGGUGUGCCAAGCAUCUGAUGUACAGAAAUGCUUAAUAAAUGCAUGGUUUCUAUUUUUACUGGAAAGCAGACGGAGAGGACAGUUUGCCACAAUUUCUCGACUCCCCACAUCUUAGGGUGUCUGAUUGCAGCCAGGCAGGGACACGCAGGUUUCUGGAAGGGAAGCAAAGCAAGGACCUCUCCCCAGCCCCGGAGGGCCAGCCCUGCGGCUAAGAACCAUGGGAGCUGGAUCCCCUGACAUCAUGCAUGAUUGAGGCAGUUGGGAAAAUAAUUAAGUGCUAACUUGUCAUUUUUUUAAUGAAGUUCUGGAGUUAGAGAUUUAUAAUUGCUAAUGAGCCAGGCUAAUAAUUAGUUGCUUUAUAAUGAGGGCGAUGAUCACUCAGACAGAGGCAGAGAGCGAGCCAGGCUCUGGCCUAAUUUUUCUCCUGUAAUUAUGUGACAUGCCCAACUGCCUGGAACUCCUCUUACCCUUCCGUCCUUCUGCUCCAGCGCGGUGCCAAGCUUCCCUGGCACUGUCCCCACUUCCCACCACCCUUCAGCUGCUGGACCCUGGUGUCCAGUGCCUCUUGCCAGGCAGCCAUUUCCCAAGAGGGUUGGCAUUGAGAAGCUACAUGUCUCUGGGCUUCUCCCCAACCCCUGCACCCGCCCUCCACCUUGGAGAAGGGGUGGGAGCUCCUGUCCUCCCCUCUGGGGGCUCAGAGCCUGAGGGCGCUUGGCAGUACACUGCCCCGUAGCAGGCAGAGAGGGGUCCUGAAAACGCCAAGCCUCACACCACUCCAGAUGAUGAAGCAGAGCAGUUACCAGGGAGAGAAAGCCAGUUCAGAGGAGGCUGCCCACCGUCCAUGCUCAGCAGUCUUCCCAGCUUCUCGAAGGCCGAGUAGGACGAGUCCUGGAUGGGAAACCAUAAAGCAUGGUGU